UUUAAAGGAGUGAUGACUCCAUGAAGUUGAGUUUGGGAAAUUGUAAUACUUGAAGCGAAUACAAACUGUUGCUGAAGUUGCAAUUCAGGGAUCUAAAGGGACACUUAUAUGAAAAGUGGACUGAUGUGAUAACUCCCAUAUGGGCUCAAUUGCCUUUGCUCUUAAUUGGGACGUGUAAUUGGUUUUUUGCACAUGUAUCCCUUGGAAGGUGUCCUGGUUAUAUCCUUUUGCCUUUAAGAAACUCUCUUUUGACUGUCUAAUGUUGGUAUGAGACUAGUUUGAGAAUGCCCAUUUUCCAACAGAUUCUUCAGGGAAAAGGCAUUCAUAUACGGGAUAUCAAUGCAUCUGGGGACUACCUUGACCAUUUCGCAUCCAAUUCAUGAGGACCAAAUAUGUAUUGGUAACGGUUAUUUUUUUCUUUACCUUGAUGACAUUUGUCCUGUCUAUUUUAGACUUGGUCUGAAAGAUCAAGAAGAAGGUGACUUAGGACCAGCUUAUGGCUUUCAGUGGCGGCAUUUGGUGCUAGGAACAGUAACAUGCACAUUGACCUACCGGCCAAGGAUUUGAUCAGUUGUUGGAUGUUAUUUACAAGAUCAAGAAUAAUCCAGACGAUUGUUUAAUUAUGCUCACUGCUUGGAAUCCUUCUGAUUCUGGCACUUCCACCUUGGCACAUGUUUGCACAGUGUAGAUAUGUUUUGCUUCAUUUUCCCAAAAUUCUCUCUGUUUUCUUUCCUUUCUUUCUUUGGUUAACCUAAUUUUACCUUUGCCCUUUUUUGUUGCAAAUGGGAAGUUGUCGUCUCAAAUGUAUCGGUGUUCUGCUGACAUGGGAUUGGUGGUGCCAUUCAGCAUCGCUGCUGAUCCUCUCCUUACAUGCACGGAUGCCUUUCUAUGUUUCUUAUAGAAUACUGGUCGGAAAGGAUUAAUGCUUCUAUAAAAAAUGCAUCACAAGGAUUGCUGCUAUAAUAGUUUACACUCUAGUGGUUGCUAGAUGAUUCCUACCUUUGAUUCCCCAGCCUAAGGGGCGAAAAGUAUCCCAUUGAUAGGAGGAUAUAAACAUGGGAACAAGCGCUUAUUUCAAGUUUUUCUUCUGCAGAUCUUUCUCCCAGUGAUUUUGUCCACGGUAUUGGGGAUGCUCAUGUUUAUUGUACCCAUGUUAAACCUGUGCAGGAACACCUUCAGAAAGCACGUCAAGCCCUUUCCUAUUUUAAAGAUAAACCCAGAGAGGAAGGAUAUAGGCUCUUUUCUAGCAGCUGAUUUCAAACUCAUUGGAUAUGACCCUCAUGAUAAACUAGAAAUGAAAAUGGCAGAUCAGAGUUAAAGAUUUGGUGACAUUCAUGAUGGACUCCCUUGACAAUUUUAUAUAUGAUUACAUGUUCCUGUCCUACAGAGGGAAUUCUUAAUUGGAUGUACUUAAUGUCGACAAUUUAGGAAGUGAGAAUCCUUUAGUCCCCCCAGAAUCAUGGUGGUUCUAAGGUGAUUUUGACGUUCCUUCAUCUUGCUAUCUCGUGAAAUUCUGUCUGUGGAUGCAUAGCUCUUGCUUGCUCAGAGACAGAUAAACCUUUGAAAUCGUAUGGUUUUUUCCAUCAUCGUGUUUAGCAGGCUCCUAAGAAGGACAGAGCCCCGCCUCACUCGUUUAAGCCUGUGAAGUCUUGUGGUAGAAAGCAGAAGAAGAAGG